GUCGAGAUGUAACGCCAUUGGGGUAGGAAGCCCGGAAACCUCUCCGUUGUGGGCACAUACACUGCUUGCUGCCAUGCAGAAGCCUUCAGGGAGUAAAAGCAUGCAAUCUGGCCACCAGCACUCUUCUUGGAUGUGCCUCAAGCCACAAACCAUCCCGAGUCCAUCUUCCAUGGUUGUCUCUGUGCCAGUAUAAAUCCUUUCUGGUAUUGACAUUUCUUUCAUUUACCUGCUCUGUGUCUCUCAUAGUUGCUGGUCAGUGCCCCUUGAGGAGAGCGUUGCGUGGUCAAAAGAAUUUGGCAAAUGCUGGAAUUGGUGGUAUAAAACGUAUUUCCUUUCUUUA